UAAGAAGAUGGUAUAUAUGAAAAAUAAUUUUAUGUAAAUGAGAGUUAGAGUAUUGUGUAGAUAAAUUUUGUUGUGGACUAUAGAUGAGAGUAUUGUAGAAGAAAUAUUAAAUAGGUGAAAAUUAAUUAUAUAAAUAGAAGUUUUUAAUAUAAGUACCUUGGGUGUCAGGGAGUAUUAAAUUAUAAUUGGUAUUAAUUUUUCUCGAUUGAUAAAUAGCUAAAAUUAAUUGAGAGUGUUUGUUGAAUAAGGCUUUUUUAUUUAAUUUUAGUAAUGAAAUGUUAUUCGAGUUAUCUGUAUCUGGUUAUUGUCGAAAGGAAUUUAAUUUCAUCUUUGUAUUAGUUAAUUAUGCAAGGAGUAAAAAUAGGAGGGUAAGCUUCUUAUUUAAAGUGUUUGGAGUAUAAAAUUGAUUUUUAGUUAAGAGGUUUAGGCUUGAAAGUAGCUUUAAUGUUAGGGUGUUAUAACUAAUCUGUGUAUAAAAUAAUGAUUUUUAUUGUGUUAGAUAAUGAUUUGUGUUAGUUGAAAAAAUGGAGAUAAAAUGAUAUUAUUAGUAUAGUGUAGAGUUGAAUAAGAUAAUAAAAUGUUAGGGUUUUAUAUUUUGUUUGUUUUAUAAAAAAGGAAUUCGGCAAAUAUUGCUUCUGCCUGUUUAACAAAAACAUGUCUUUAGGGUGGUAUUUAAAGUCUGGCCUGCCCACUGAUUGAUUUAAAGGGCCGCAGUAUACUGACUGUGCGAAGGUAGCAUAAUCAUUAGUCUUUUAAUUGAGGGCUGGUAUGAAUGGUUUGACAAGAGGCAUUCUGUCUCUUUUGUAUUUCUUGAACUUUACUUUCAAGUUAAAAGGCUUGGAUGAUCUAGAGGGACGAUAAGACCCUAUAAAGUUUUAUAUUUUUUCUUUUGAGUUUAAAAGUAUUUGUUUAACUAAAAUUGGCGGGAAGGUAUUUUGUUGGGGCGACAGGAGUAUAAUUAAUUAAUAACUGCUUCCAGAGAGUUUACAGUAAUUUUUGUUAUUUAUUGAUCCUUAAUAGAGAUUAUAAGAUUAAGUUACUUUAGGGAUAACAGCGUAAUUUUUUUUGAGAGUUCUAAUCGAGAAAAAAGUUUGCGACCUCGAUGUUGAAUUAAGGUACCUUUGUAGAGUAGAAAUUAUAAGAGGGGGUCUGUUCGACCUUUAAACCUUUACAUGAUUUGAGUUCAGACCGGUGUAAGCCAGGUCGGUUUCUAUCUUCUAGUGAAUAAAGAGUCUUUUUAGUACGAGAGGAUUUAAAGAUUUAAAUAGUUUAGUUAAAGUGGAAUAGGGUU
rnacentral:rRNA from 1 species